rnacentral:lncRNA from 1 species
ACAAAUGAGCAUUGCUAGUUCCAACUUUAUGGACACUGAAAUUCCAAUUUCAUAUAAUUUUCAUGUGUCAAAAAAUAUUCUUUUAAAAAUGCAGCUUUUUCAAACACUUAAAUAUGUGAAAGCCAUUCUUAGAUCAUGGGCCAGACAAAAACAAAUGGUGGUCCAUGGGCCAUAGUUUGCCUGCCCUUGUUCAAGUGGGAGAAACAGACACUAAGCAAAGUGGUGACAGAUAGUGAUAACUAGGUGCGAGGAAAUGAGUGGACAUUUAAGUUGAGGGCUAGGAGUCAGAACGAGUCCACCUUCUGCAGAGAUGGAGGAAGGGUAUUUUAGGAAGAAGGGAGAGCAAGUGGGAAGCCCCUCAGGCAGGAAAGGACUCAGCAAUUUGUAGGAAGAGAAAGGCCACUAGUAUGUCUGAGCCUUGGUGGGCAUCAGGACAAAGGGGAAGAUGAGAUGGGAUGAGGUUGAAGAGAGAGGCAAGAGCCCAGACUCUAAAGUAUUGUGUGGCCGUGGUAGAAGUUUAAUUUGACUCUAAGCAUAAUGAGAAGCUAUUGAAAGGUUUUAAGCAGGGAAGUGACACAAUUGAUUUACUAUUAAAAAAAAUAAUCACUGUGGCUACUGAGAUGAGAAUGGAUUGGAAAGGUGUGAGAUGGAAGUAGAUGACUAUUGCAAUAAUCCAAGAUCUCAAUGGAGUUGAGGAAUUUUUCAAAUAGGAAUACUAGAGUAAGUGAGCUAGAAGAAUUGAAGGCAGUGGUCAGAGAGUAUACUUGAAUUCAAGAUGCCAGAAGUCAUGCAAUGAAUGUAGUGCCAAGGCUCUGGGCUGAGAUGGGGUGGAAAGAAAGUUAGCAGAGAAGAAAAUUGUAAAUAAAUGGCAAGCCAGGUUGUAAGAUGGAUUAUGUAAUGCCAAGGCUCUGGGCUGAGAUGGGGUGGAAACAAAGUUAGUGGAGGUGAAAAUUGUAAAGAAAUGGCAAGCUAGGUUGUAAGAUGGGUUAUCACCAUAAAUAAAUACAAAGUCAACAAGAAUGAGUUGGCAUAGAGAGAAAGAUGAUGAAACGGAAGCCAUCGUUACCAAUAACUGAUCAUCAAAAGAGUUGUAGAAAACUGCAUUGAGGAAAGAAGGAGAGAUCCUCUGUCCUGAUGUAUACAUAUAGUUAAAAUUACCUAGGGCUUAGAAAGACAAAGAAGGAAAAGUGUUUGGAAGCACUAUUGAGAGAAAACGAAACGCCAGCUCCACCUCCUGAUUCUGGAAUAUGGGGGGAGUGGAAGAAAAAGUAGUCUCCACCCAAGAAGUCUACAGUGGAAGCAGGACCUCUAAGAACAGACAACUUUCAGUUAAAAAAAUUAAGCAAUAGUAACAUUUUAGCCAGGUGUGGUGGCAUGUGGCUAUAAUCCCAG